GAUGAACGCUGGCGGUAUGCUUAACACAUGCAAGUCGAACGGUCACUUCGGUGAUAGUGGCGGACGGGUGAGUAACGCGUGAGAAUCUGUCUUCAGGUCGGGGACAACAGUUAGAAAUGACUGCUAAUACCGGAUGUGCCUUUGGGUGAAAGAUUUAUUGCCUGAAAAAGAGCUCGCGUCAGAUUAGCUAGUAGGUGGUGUAAGAGACUACCUAGGCUCCGAUCUGUAGCUGGUCUGAGAGGACGAUCAGCCACACUGGAACUGAGACACGGUCCAGACUCCUACGGGAGGCAGCAGUGGGGAAUUUUCCGCAAUGGGCGAAAGCCUGACGGAGCAAUACCGCGUGAGGGACGAAGGCUUUUGGGUCGUAAACCUCUUUUCUCAAGGAAGAUGAUGACGGUACUUGAGGAAUAAGCAUCGGCUAACUCGGUG
rnacentral:rRNA from 1 species